UACGUAGGGUGCAAGCGUUGUCCGGAUUUAUUGGGCGUAAAGAGCUCGUAGGCGGUUUGUCGCGUCGGAUGUGAAAACCCAGGGCUCAACCCUGGGCCUGCAUUCGAUACGGGCAGACUAGAGUAUGGCAGGGGAGACUGGAAUUCCUGGUGUAGCGGUGGAAUGCGCAGAUAUCAGGAGGAACACCGAUGGCGAAGGCAGCUCGCUGGGACGGUACUGACGCUGAGGCGCGAAAGCGUGGGGAGCAAACAGG
rnacentral:rRNA from 1 species